CCCGCUGAACUUAAGCAUAUCAAUAAGCGGAGGAAAAGAAACUAACAAGGAUUCCCUUAGUAACUGCGAGUGAAGUGGGAAAAGCUCAAAUUUAGAAUCUGGCAGUCACUUGGCUGUCCGAGUUGUAAUCUAGAGAAGUGUUGCCCGUGCUGGACCAUGUACAAGUCUCCUGGAAUGGAGCAUCACAGAGGGUGAGAAUCCUGUCUUUGACAUGGACUGCCAGUGCUUUUGUGGUAUGCUCUCAAAGAGUCGAGUUGUUUGGGAAUGCAGCUCAAAAUGGGUGGUAAAUGCCAUCUAAAGCUAAAUAUUGGCGAGAGACCGAUAGUGAACAAGUACCGUGAGGGAAAGAUGAAAAGAACUUUGGAAAGAGAGUUAAACAGUACGUGAAAUUGCUGAAAGGGAAACGCUUGAAACCAGCGAUGCUUGCGGGUGAUCACUUCUGGUGCUCUCACCCGUCGGCAAGUCAGCGUCAGUUUUGGUCGCCGGAAAAAGAACCAAGGGAAUGUGGCUUCCUCCGGGGAGUGUUUAUAGCCCUGGUUCGUACGGUGGCUGGGACUGAGGUCUGCAGUCAAAGCUUUUUGCUUGGAGGCCCGGUCGCUGGUGGCAAAUCGGUGCUAGACAGCUUGCUGACUGGGGCUGAUUCUGUCUCCACACGGUCGAGGUCUCUCAAAUUGGCUUAGGUCGCUGACUUAAUGGUUUAAAAUGACCCGUCUUGAAACACGG
rnacentral:rRNA from 1 species